ACUGGUAUGGCCGAUUGGAAAGGCGCCCCUGCAUUAGCUGGGAGCAUGCUGGAUCAAUUCCAGCUGCCAGUU